UUGUGUUGACUUCUCUUGUACAUAAGAGAUGAAGAUAAAAAUAAGAAUUAUCAUAUCAGUUGUUCACAUUCUCUGUAUUUGUCUGUCAAAUUGGGUAUAUGGAGAUGCUAUCUGUGUAUGCCUUGGAGAUCUUUUCUACACGAGAUGCAUUCCUCUAUUCACGUCUUGCCUUUGUUCUAUGUAGAGAUACUGCAACAUACCAAC
rnacentral:lncRNA from 1 species